UACAGAGGUCUCAAGCGUUGUUCGGAUUCAUUGGGCGUAAAGGGUGCGUAGGCGGAUCUUUAAGUCGGGGGUGAAAUCCCGGGGCUCAACCCCGGAACUGCCUUCGAUACUGAGGAUCUUGAGUCCGGGAGAGGUGAGUGGAACUGCGAGUGUAGAGGUGAAAUUCGUAGAUAUUCGCAAGAACACCAGUGGCGAAGGCGGCUCACUGGCCCGGUACUGACGCUGAGGUGCGAAAGCGUGGGGAGCAAACAGG
rnacentral:rRNA from 1 species